AAUGAACGCUGGCGGCGUGCUUAACACAUGCAAGUCGCACGAGAAAGCCUUGGCUUGCCAGAGCGAGUAAAGUGGCGCACGGGUGAGUAACGCGUGGGUAAUCUACCCCCGAAUUUGGGAUAACAGUUCGAAAGGAUUGCUAAUACCGGAUAACAUCAUUAUUUCUUCGGAGAUUUUGAUCAAAGGUGGCCUCUACAUGUAAGCUACUGUUUGGGGAUGAGCCCGCGUACCAUUAGCUAGUUGGUAGGGUAAAGGCCUACCAAGGCGACGAUGGUUAGCUGGUCGUAGAGGAUGAUCGUCCAAACUGGGACUGACACACGGUCCAGACUCCUACGGGAGGCAGCAGUGAGGAAUUUUGCGCAAUGGGGGAAACCCUGACGCAGCAACGCCGCGUGAGUGAUGAAGGCCUUCGGGUCGUAAACCUCUGUCAAGUGGGAAGAACCUAUGGAGGGCUAAUAUCCCUUUGUACUGACGGUACCACUGAAGGAAGCACCGGCUAACUCCGUGCCAGCCGCCGCGGUAAAAC
rnacentral:rRNA from 1 species